rnacentral:rRNA from 1 species
CCUACGGGGGGCUGCAGUCGAGAAUCAUUCACAAUGGGGGAAACCCUGAUGGUGCGACGCCGCGUGGGGGAAUGAAGGUCUUCGGAUUGUAAACCCCUGUCAUGUGGGAGCAAAUUAAAAAGAUAGUACCACAAGAGGAAGAGACGGCUAACUCGGUGCCAGCAGCCGCGGUAAUACAGAGGUCUCAAGCGUUGUUCGGAAUCACUGGGCGUAAAGCGUGUGUAGGCUGUUUCGUAAGUCGUGUGUGAAAGGCGCGGGCUCAACCCGCGGACGGCACAUGAUACUGCGAGACUAGAGUAAGGGAGGGGGAACCGGAAUGCUCGGUGUAGCAGUGAAAUGCGUAGAUAUCGAGAGGAACACUCGUGGCGAAGGCGGGUUCCUGGACAUUAACUGACGCUGAGGCACGAAGGCCAGGGGAGCGAAAGGGAUUAGAUACCCUUGUAGUC